UCUGUGGUCUGGAAGUUUUAGUAGAUGUGUUCACUGUAGUUUGUUUGUUGGCUAAUUAUUGUCACAUUAGUUUGGAAUGUCUGAAACUCAGUUUCUGUGAGAAGGUCAACCUGGAUGUGGUUAAAAAGCUUUGCAAAAACUGCAGACGAUUGAAGAUUCUCCGUCUCUAUGGUUGUGCCUUCACACGUGACCUGAGCAAAAUACAAGAAGCUUACGAAGCAGUCAAAGUAUUUCAUGAAAUUUCUGCCCCUACUUGCUAAUAUUUCUAGGAAAAUAGAAUUGCUACCAACAAAGGCUUUGAACCUACACUUAGUUAAAUAUGCCCAGAAAUUUUCCCAUUUAAGUGAGAUAUGAAUUGUUUUUUUAUUUAAACAGAAAUAAUCAAGAAAUAAUUGCAUGUUAAAUUUCAACAUCAUAUUGACACAUUUUUGUUAUGCCAAACACCCCCCUGAAA